rnacentral:rRNA from 1 species
CACGUAGGGUGCGAGCGUUGUCCGGAUUUAUUGGGCGUAAAGAGCGUGUAGGCGGCCAGGUAGGUCUGCUGUGAAAACUCGAGGCUCAACCUCGAGACGUCGGCGGAAACCAUCUGGCUAGAGUCCGGAAGAGGAGAGUGGAAUUCCUGGUGUAGCGGUGAAAUGCGCAGAUAUCAGGAAGAACACCGGUGGCGAAGGCGGUUCUCUGGGCAUUACCUGACGCUGAGGAGCGAAAGUGUGGGGAGCGAACAGG